rnacentral:rRNA from 1 species
GAUGAACGCUGGCGGCGUGCCUAAUACAUGCAAGUCGAGCGAACAGAUGAGGAGCUUGCUCCUCUGACGUUAGCGGCGGACGGGUGAGUAACACGUGGAUAACCUACCUAUAAGACUGGGAUAACUUCGGGAAACCGGAGCUAAUACCGGAUAAUAUAUUGAACCGCAUGGUUCAAUAGUGAAAGACGGUUUUGCUGUCACUUAUAGAUGGAUCCGCGCCGCAUUAGCUAGUUGGUAAGGUAACGGCUUACCAAGGCAACGAUGCGUAGCCGACCUGAGAGGGUGGUCGGCCACCCUGGAACUGAGACACGGUCCAGACUCCUACGGGAGGCAGCAGUAGGGAAUCUUCCGCAAUGGGCGAAAGCCUGACGGAGCAACGCCGCGUGAGUGAUGAAGGUCUUCGGAUCGUAAAACUCUGUUAUUAGGGAAGAACAAAUGUGUAAGUAACGAUGCACGUCUUGACGGUACCUAAUCAGAAAGCCACGGCUAACUACGUGC